ACUCCUACGGGAGGCAGCAGUGGGGAAUAUUGCACAAUGGGCGCAAGCCUGAUGCAGCCAUGCCGCGUGUGUGAAGAAGGCCUUCGGGUUGUAAAGCACUUUCAGUAGGGAGGAAGGUAGUGUAGUUAACACCUGCAUUAUUUGACGUUACCUACAGAAGAAGCACCGGCUAACUCCGUGCCAGCAGCCGCGGUAAUACGGAGGGUGCGAGCGUUAUCCGGAUUUAUUGGGUUUAAAGGGUCCGUAGGCGGAUUAAUAAGUCAGUGGUGAAAUCCCAUCGCUUAACGAUGGAACUGCCAUUGAUACUGUUAGUCUUGAAUGAGGGUGCAGUGGUUGGAAUGUGUAGUGUAGCGGUGAAAUGCAUAGAUAUUACACAGAACACCGAUUGCGAAGGCAGAUCACUAACCCUAAAUUGACGCUGAGGGGACGAAAGCGUGGGGAGCGAACAGGAUUAGAUACCCUGGUAGCGACUG
rnacentral:rRNA from 1 species